CAGUGAUGGAAUAACUAAAACUUAUCAAUGAAGCAUUUUUUUUUAAGAAGGGAGAAAGAGAAAGAAAGCAAGAGACAAUGACUGGACAGCUUACUUAGUUCAUUAGUAUCCAUAUGAGGUAAAAAGAUUUAGAGGAAUGCUCCUACCAUGUUGGGUGGAUCCCCUUUGGCAGAUUUACAACAAAACAUGAAUGAGCAUUGCAUAAGCUAAGGAGUAGAUGAAUUGGUAUCUGCACCUCUGAAUGGAAAACCCACAUUUAUGAGAUCAUAGAUACAUUGAAGGAUUGUAAUAAUUAGCAUUUUACUGCUCCUGCCCUUUAAAUUCUCACUCCGCUGAUGUCAAUGAUCCAAUCCAUAACUAUUAGCAAUUUGGAAGAGGGGAGAUCCUGACUUUUGAGCUGGAAUUGCAACCAACAUACUUCAGCAGAAAAUGAUCAGUCAUCUGUCCUGAAACUGUGAACAAUCCCUGCACUUAUAACUACGAAGUGAACCAAACCAGAGGCUGCAUUCCUGUCCCUGCCAUGUUAACUCUGGCUCUCUGCCCUGCUGAACUAUCACUAGUCUCAGCAACCCUUAAAACCUGAGACAAUCACAAGGCUCAAUGAUUCUAUUAAUUUUGAGACUGUUUGAGACCUAAGAACACCUAUAUUGUCCCCAAAAUGCCAGCAAAAAUGCACUUGCCAUGGGAACUAUUUUCUUAACUUACUGUAUUGGAUAUUUCCUUUUUUGUGGGUUUUAUGCUUAAAAAAUCCUACUCUGCUACAAAUGAGAAAGUCCUCCUUCUUGAGAGGACUUCUGCUUGCAACAUUUCCCUCACUUUGAAAUUAAACUUCUGUUUGAAUUCU